CAAGUCGAACGCGAAAGUGGAGCAAUCCAUGAGUAGAGUGGCAAACGGGUGAGUAACACGUGGGUGACCUGCCUUCGAGCGGGGGAUAACGUCCCGAAAGGGACGCUAAUACCGCAUGACAUCCUGCUUUUUAACAGGUGGAGAUCAAAGCCGGGGAUCGCAAGACCUGGCACUCGAAGAGGGGCCCGCGCCUGAUUAGCUAGUUGGUGGGGUAACGGCUCACCAAGGCGACGAUCAGUAUCCGGCCUGAGAGGGCGGACGGACACACUGGGACUGAGACACGGCCCAGACUCCUACGGGAGGCAGCAGUGGGGAAUUGUUCGCAAUGGGCGCAAGCCUGACGACGCAACGCCGCGUGGAGGAUGAAGAUCUUCGGGUCGUAAACUCCUUUCGAUCGAGACGAACGGCCUCCGGGUGAACAAUCCGGAGGAGUGACGGUACCGAGAGAAGAAGCCCCGGCUAACUCCGUGCCAGCAGCCGCGGUAAUACGGGGGGGGCAAGCGUUGUUCGGAAUUACUGGGCGUAAAGGGCGCGUAGGUGGCCAACUAAGUCAGACGUGAAAUCCCUCGGCUUAACCGGGGAACUGCGUCUGAUACUGGAUGGCUUGAGUGUGGGAGAGGGAUGCGGAAUUCCAGGUGUAGCGGUGAAAUGCGUAGAUAUCUGGAGGAACACCGGUGGCGAAGGCGGCAUCCUGGACCAUUACUGACACUGAAACGCGAAAGCCAGGGGAGCAAACGGGAUUAGAUACCCCGGUAGUCCUGGCCCUAAACGAUGA
rnacentral:rRNA from 1 species